UGCCCCCUAGUCUAAUGGCAGGACGGCAGACUCUGGAUCUGUGGGUCGGGGUUCGAAUCCCUGGGGGGCAACCA
rnacentral:tRNA from 1 species